rnacentral:rRNA from 1 species
UACGGAGGGUGCAAGCGUUAUCCGGAUUCACUGGGUUUAAAGGGUGCGUAGGCGGGCAGGUAAGUCCGUGGUGAAAUCUCUUUGCUUAACAAAGAAACUGCCAUUGAUACUGCUAGUCUAGAGUAUAGAUGACGUUGGCGGAAUAUGACAUGUAGUGGUGAAAUACUUAGAUAUGUCAUAGAACACCGAUUGCGAAGGCAGCUAACGAAACUAUAACUGACGCUGAGGCACGAAAGUGCGGGGAUCAAACAGG